rnacentral:rRNA from 1 species
UGAGUCAUCCCUAGAGCUUCGAGCUCUCUAAAGGGUUGUCGUAGACUACGACGUUGAUAGGCAGGGUGUGUAAGCGCUGUGAGGCGUUGAGCUAACCUGUACUAAUUGCCCGUGAGGCUUAACCAUACAACACCCAAG